rnacentral:lncRNA from 1 species
GUGUGUGUUGCUGAGAUUGGCUGUGUGUUCUUGAGGUGUUCAAGAUUAGCAAUCUUAGUGUUGGCCAAGGAGAGUGUGUUUCUUGAGGUGUUCAAGGUCAGUCUCUUGGUUGUGGUGUAAGUGAUCAAGUGGUGAUUGCUUAGUGGAUUUCCUCAGGAUUUCUGAGAAGACUGGAUGUAGCUCUGGAUUGGAGUGAACCAGUAUAAACAACUGUGUACAAUUUCUCUAUCCCUAUCUCUUUAAUUCAGUUUGAUAUUUUGGAACUGGUAUAAGCAACCGAUUGUUUCGUUAAAACAACCAAUUGUUUUUCCAGCUUUGUGCUUUUUGCUGUUUGUUUUGGAAAAACUGAAUUCUCAAUCAAGGUUCUUCUGAAGUAUUUCCAUUCUAAGCUUAAAAGUUUUCAAAAAUCCUUCUUAAACAAUUCACCCCCCUCUCGUUUAAGGCCAUAUAUUCUAACAAUUAUAUUAUACCAAGUACAAUUAUCUUAAAUGUAAAUGUGUGUUUCUUCCAUAAACAUAUUGUAGGCAAAAAUCAUAUUAAAUUAUGAAGUCACCUUUUGUCAUAUAAAUUAAAUUAAAAUGUAAUAUAAUACAAAUAAAACAUGAUGAAAUAUA